UCAAAUCAUGCAAUAAAUUUCCAAGUUAUGAAAACAAAAAAAAUAUUUUGGUAUGGCUCAAUAAAAAGGGAAAAUCAACAAACAUCAAGGAAUCAUGCAUAAAGACUCAAUAACACAUGCAUUGACUCAACUAGCAACCAUUAAACUAAAAAUUGCAUAAAAUCCUAAUAAACAUGAAAUAAACUAGAAAAACAAUAAAUCUAACUAAAAAACAAUAAAAACGAAAAUAGUAAAGUUCCUAGAUGAAAUGGUGGAUGUUUAAAUGGCAAAAGAUGACACUUACUGGUUUUGAGCGCGUUCAAG
rnacentral:lncRNA from 1 species